rnacentral:lncRNA from 1 species
CUCGUCCAUUUCCGAUAUUUUCUUCCUUAUCUUUUAUUUGCAUCUUGAAUAAUUGCUCCACUAUAUCUUGUUUUUUCUUAUGCUUUUCUUCAUAUGCUCCUAAGGAUCCCAUUAAUUGAUCAAUCGACAUCUCCUCCAAAUAUUUAGUUUCUUCAAUUGUUAUGACAAUAUGCUCGAAUUUGGAAGUUAAUGACCGGAGUAUCUUN